AAUGGGGCCAAAUACUGGGUUUAUCGCUAGUUUUAUGUUUAUUAGUAGGCAUUAAAAUUAUUCAAAUUCGGGGUCAUUUCAAAUUUUGUGACCUUGAAUGAGUAAAUUGAGGGUUUUUAUAUUUAAUUUUUUAAAUAACGGGUGUACAUGUAAAAUUUUGUUAACAAUAAAAUUUGUUGGCACUACUGGAUCAUGGCCUGUGGAAGUGAUGGAGUUUUUUCUGCUGAGUGUCUUAUUAAAGCGAGCUGUGCUUUUGAAAUUAAUUUGUCACGUGACGCAUAAUUGUCCACUGACAAUGUUGCCAAAUUAAUUUCAAAAUCACAGGCUACUUUGAUUUGAAAUUUAAUCAAAACUAUGGUAAAUACUUGCAGAUAAAGCAUAUGGGAUAAAUUUUAGAAAUUAGCUUCGGUACAAAUUUAUUUAUUGUUGAAUGAUGAUGAUCUUUUAGUUUUUGAGCAAUUUCGGUGCCAUUUUUUUUUAAAUUACUAAAAGUUAACACACAAACACUAAGAAUGUAUGAAGAUCAAGUAAUUCUGAAAUCGGUCUAUUGCGAAAAAGCAGAAAUUUGAAAUGUGUCAUAAAGUUUUCAUUAAUAAUUAAAUUGUUACAACCGUUGUGAAAGAAAUUUGUGUUGAAACAUUUAUUUGUCACAGACAUUUUGAGAAUCUUUCUCAGUUUUUUUUUUCAAAUGGAAAAGUACAAAUUUUAUCAACACAGUAUUUUUAGCGUAUUGUACACUGAAAGUUAAAUUGUCAUUCUAAAAAUAUAAACUUUAAAAUGGCCUGCGAUUGAAAUAAAGUGUAAAUAAUAACUUUAGGAACAAUGCACAGUUCCAUUUUUAUUGCAGUUGAUAACAUUUUAAAUGAUUGCUUAACAUAUUGAGAGACGACGACGGGUUAAUCAGAAUAUAUUUUAACGACUAUAUAUCCACAUUCGGAUGUUGUAGUCCUACAGUUUCUUUUAGGGUGAAAAUUACGACACAAACUGUAGGUGUAAGAAACACAGAAAAAAUAUUUUGUUAUUUCUAACAACAUUUUAAAAGAAUAUUACAAGGGUACAUUAUUUGAUUUGUUUUUUUUUUUCAUCUUAAUCAGAAACAAAUGAUUCACAGCUGUUUUGCGCUUUUAGUUUUAUUGUUUUCAAUUCACGAAACACAUGUAUUAAGUAAACAAAAUUCAAGGAUUUGUAAUUUUUGUUAUCAAGAAACACACAUCUUAGGAAUGUCAAAACAUUAGAGUAAAUUGAAACAUUGAAAUAAACAUUGUACUUUGAGAAUC